rnacentral:rRNA from 1 species
CCCUUAGAUGUUCUGGGCCGCACGCGUGCUACACUGAGUGGAUCAGCGGGUCAGGUUGCGCGAAAGCGUUUCCUAAUCUUGAAAUCCGCUCGUGAUGGGGAUUGACGGUUGCAAUUUUCUGUCAUGAACGAGGAAUACCUUGUAAGCGCGGGUCAUCAUCCCGCGCUGAAUACGUCCCUGCCCUUUGUACACACCGCCCGUCGCUCCUACCGAUUGAGUGGUCCGGUGAGGCUUUGGGAUCUGAGCGGAAAGAGCGUUUCGCUCGUUCUGCCCGGAAAACUCAGUCGAACCUUAUCAUUUAGAGGAAGGGGAAGUCGUAACA